rnacentral:lncRNA from 1 species
UGAGCUUUAUUAAAGUUACAUUAUUUAGUCUUAUGCAUUUUAUUUAUUCAGUAUUAUGCUUUCAUUACAGUCAUAGAAGCAUUGUGUACGAAAGUACAAUGCUUAAAAAAAAACAUUCAACAAAAUACAGCCCCCUCCCAUAUUGAAAUGAAAUGAUAAACCCCCCAUGAUUUGAGUUGGGUAAUGUUAUAUCAUGAUAUUUUAAUGGAAUUGGCCUUUAUCCCUGAGUGGAACAAAAUAACAGGUCAGCUAGUUUCUAAACCCUGCUAAGUAUAGAGUAUUUCUUUAGACAUCCCUUCUCUAAGAAGGAAAACAGAGUCCCUCACAGCUAGUGGCUGUGGUAACAGAGUUACUAAGUAAACAAACAUUGAGUGAAAGGAAGAACUCCCAGGGAAACCAAAUAGAAUCCUUCUCACUAAAGAAUCUGCUUUCUGGUUUGCCUUGACCCUCUCUCAUCAAGUGUGGUAUUCUGUUUUAGUAAGAAAGACUGUCCUCACUUGUUCUUCUCCCCUGAGAUGUGGCCAUUUUCUCUCUUCGACUCCUCCGCAAGUUGAUGACCAAAACAACUUCUCCUCAGCAUUAGGAGGGCCACAGGUUACCCACCUCCUUGCCUUUCUGCAUGCUGCUGUCUUUGUAAUGCUCUCCUAA